CCUGUUUAUACGCUAUAGUACACGUACAGCCGAUGCGGAGAGAGGAUGGAAGUGGUUGAGUCCUGUUAAUGUUCUACGUACAGCAUCACCAGCUGGUGGACGGGGCAGUGAUCCAGAAAACCCACACUUACACGAUCCAGGAUUCCCCUUCCUCGAGCUGACCGUCCCACAAAAUGGAAGUCUUUACAGCUGGAGUCAAAUGUCACCUCAUCUUUCCUUCCCAGGAGCUGACAGGAUGGGUUUCAGGGAAGUGAGAGAGUGGUUUUGGAGAUGAAGGGAUUCUUAGCAGUGAAUUUAACUGUAGCACAGACACUCCGACCCCUCCCCAGAGAAGCAUCAGAGGUCUGGGGGGGGUGUGCUAUAGAUUCCAAGCAAGAGCCUUUCAGAAAUUCACCGGCAAGCUCCCUAUUGUAGCUGUUUCCAUGAAGGGUUAAGUUUCUUCAACGCAGUGUCAGGAAAGACUGUCCACCAAGAUACUACCAACCUUACAGAAGAAACAGACUUUCUAGACAACAGGAAUCAAGACAGAAGAAGGGAAGAAGGGAGGAAGGAAGGAAGGAAAAAAGGAAGGAAAAAAGGAAGGAAGGAAAAAAGGAAGGAGAGAAAGAAGGAAGGAAGGAGGUAGUAUAGAGUCAUUUAUCAAUAAAUAAAAGGAUCAAAAGCAAUUUCCACAGUGAUAAGGAUGCUAAUUUGCCCAGGACUUAGCCUUGAAGCCCUCGCCCAUCCUUAAGUUAUCUACCUUCCAUAUUUACCAGCUCUCAAGGAUGUUGCCUUUUGUGCUCAAAGACAGUGAGCCUCAUGAUGUGUAUUCUCAGCCCUACCUUGGUACCAUGCCUGAGGGUGGGCAUCCUGGAGCCAUCUGUGUCACCAGGAAUGGCUCGGGAACUUCUGUCCCUGGCCCCUUAGAGGAGGCAUGCUUGGGCUUCAGUUAGGCAGCCCCCUCCCCUUGGAGCAGACACAGCACAGAGCACACAAGGAGGAGGUGCUGUUGUAGCUACGGGAGUCAUUGUCCUCGAUUCCUGGCACGGAAUCCCCAAGUCCAUAACUUCCAGACAAUAGAGAAAGCCUCUUCUGCCCUAAUAUGUCACCUUUGACCUAGUCCCUGGUGCAGAACUUCCGAAUCCCGUGGGAUGCCCUAGGCUAUAGAAGCCUCUUUUGUCCCAGGGACCUUUUGCUGAUCCGCUGUUGAGGCUGGUCACCCCGUGAAAAUGUUCAGCCUCACCCCAUAUCUCACCCCAUAUCUCACCCCAUAUCCUCCAGCAAGUGAAGGGGACUGCAGACUGCCCUGAUGGUUGGGUGAGUCAGGAAAGCAUUUCUGUGACCUCUGUGAAGACUUCUAGCAAAGGAUGGAUCCCAAAAGGAUUGUGAGAGCCUUGGAUUUGCAGCCAAAUCAGACAGAGGGCGACUAGGAUGUGUAUAUAAGUGCAAGUGGCUGUGGGGUCCAGAAAAGGACAUCACAGAGGAGGACGUCACAGAGGAGGACGUCACAGAGGAGGACGUCACAGAGGAGGACGCCACAGAGGAGGACAUCACAGAGGAGGACGCCACAGAGGAGGACAUCAGAUCCCUGAAGUGACAGGCGGCUGUAAGACAUUUGACAGGGGUACUGGGAACUGAACUCAAAAUCUUUGCAAGAGCUCUACAUGCUCUUUACCACUGAGUGAUCUCUGCAGUCUUCAAGUCGCCAUGUUUAAGAAUACAGAACUGGAGGACAUCCCUAUUGGUGUGUUGUCAUCACUACCAUCUAUCCACAGAACUUCCAAGGCCAACUCACUGUACCCAAGCAUUUUAAAGUGGAAACUCUGUUCACAGUUCAUGGGCCAUGUAAAGGCAGGUGCACACCAGCUCGCCCUAGAGGUCACAGUCUGCUGGCUCCAUAUUAGAGCAAAGCAUACCAGACGUUUCUGUGAUACUGAGAAGUGAGAGAGGGCCUUGGCCAGAGCCCACUCCCUUAGACAGCACGAGGACUGGCCGGGGGACCUUUCCUCUGCCCAGCGCCUGGGCUGAUGUCGCUGGUGAGCCUCGGAAAGGAGCUUCCUCCUCCCCCGAGGACUACUUAACUGGCAGGUGGAAUGAAAGGAGUUUUGUCUGAGAUGUGUACUGUAAAAUCCAGCUCACGUGGGAAGAUCGUCGCGAAUAAAGAGCUCCUGCUUGCAUCUUGAAAUGAAAGGGGGAACGUUCUCACCCUAUCACCGGAUAAACAUGCACUUAACAGUUUCAGUCAUUGUCCUCGAGAGUGCUUAUGUAUGCUAGCUAGCUAGGUACUAGAGAGAGUUUAUCCCUUUAAACAGGAACCAUGCCUACGACCGCCUGCUUCCUUUGUUACCUAAAUGCUCUAGGUUAUGGCCUUCUUUUGCUGUCCCUCAUCCUGAAUGAUUAAAUAAGGCUUCUCAAGUCAGAGUCUCCUCGGAAAACACUCUGAGGAUCAGCACUCCGUAGUAAGGAUGAGGACCCUUGGGUCUGCGGGUCUCAGGUGAUUUAGCUGUGCUGUGGUACUUGGGAGCCUCGGGCUUAGAUACAGUGCCCCUCUCUGCCACAUUCCCCAGAUGGUUCAGCAUUGGGUAUGGUAUGAAUUCACAAUUCAUGCUGAUGUAAAAGGAAGCCCCAAGUGGCACAGCAGGCAUCUGGCCUUGGAAACUGCUGCCAUGUAUUGGCGCUUGGUUCAGUUCCCCUGGGAGGUGCCUAAGGCCUCAUUUCUCCCAGACACCUGCUUUAACCGUCCUCCCUGCAGGCCCCGCCCUUUAUCUCUAGAGGAGAAUAGGAGACUGUGAUGCUUACCUUGUGAGGCUACAAUGUUUCCAUUAAGCAAACUCAGUGUAGUGACUAGAUUUACGUCAGGUUGACACAAACUGGGGUUAUCUGAAAAGCAGAAACCUCAUUUGAAGAAAAAAAAAACCCGCCUCCGUAAGAUCCAGCUGUAAGGCAUUCUCUUAAUUAGUGAUGGAUGGAGGAGGGCCCAGCCCACCGUGAGUGCUGCCUGGGCUGGUGGUCUUAGGUUCUAAAAGAAAGCAGGCUAAGUAAGCCAGGAUGAGCAAGCCAGUAAGCAGCACUCCUCCCCGGCCUCUGUAUCAGCUCCUGCCUCCAGGCUCCAUCCCUGCUUGAGUUCCUGUCCUGACUUCCUUUAAUAAUUGACAGUGAUUUAGAAGUGUAAGCCAAGUUAAACCCUUUCCUCCCCAACUUGCCUUUUGUCAUGGUGUUUCAUCGAAGCAACAGAAACCUUAGCUAGGUUGUUCAGUAAAAAUAUUUGCAUUCUGUGUCCACUCA